UGAUGACAAGACUCCUUGUGACACUUAGCCUCGAGACCACGCCGAUUGAAAAAUCGGCAAUCAUAGUCCAAUCAUAGAUAGUGUAGAAAGAGGGAUUGGAAAGGGAUCCAGGCUGCGCAGGAAGUUAAUUCACUGCACCGGAAGCUAAUAAUAGUUUCUUCACAUCACCUUGGGAUAUAUGGGAUGGCAGCACAGAUUACAGAGCAGACAGACAGCAUAUGAGACUUGAGAAGAGCUAGAGCUAAAGAGCAGUGAUGAGAGAAACACUCUACUGAGAUCGAGAGAAGCCACUAAGCAUCUGUUUGUGAAGACGAAGGAUUCAAGAUAUUUAGCAGUGCCAGCAUCAUGUAAUUGCACUGACUUUAGCAACAAAGUUGUAGCUAUGAAUGUAUGAUUUACGAGGGAAAUACAAUUUAUAGCUUGAUCACUUUAGCGUAUUGUGUAUUCACACUCUUUAGUAUUAUAGUUCAUUCGAUUCAUAAUUAUAA